CAGAAACAUUAUUUAGCAGCUGAUUCCCUGCGUCCUUGUCAAUUUCAGAGACAAAACAGCAGCCCAGGCUAGUCUAGGCGGCGGCGCAGCGGCUGCGGCAGCGCGGCCCCAGCGGCGGCCCCGGCGGCGGCUCCUACGCAGCCGGUGCCCGCCCAGAGCCGCGGGAGCAGCGGCGGCAGCGGCGGCAGCAGGAGAACCGGGGGAAUCGCGCUGCUCGGGGUAAGAGCUGGAGCGAGGCGAAAGCGUGUAACAAUUGCACACGCACACACCACUCACACGCACUCGCCGCCCGCCCGCUCGCACAGCGCUGGAACACGCGCGUCCAGACACGCACACACGCACGCACACACACUCGCACACACGCAGAGGCACGGGGGGGAAAGAAGCCGAUGAAUAAUUUUGCUGCUAUUUUUUAAAAUGCUGGCCGCCAUCAUCAAGCAGCGAGCAGCAGCAGCAGCGUUGAAGGGAGAGGAAGCAUCGGGACAGGCCCCUCUUAGGAGAGGAUUUAUAUCUAGUUGGAAAAAAAAAAAAAAAAGGAAAAGAAGAAAAAAAUUGUCAAGCCCCCGAACUGAAGGUUACGAGCGGCCCGUCAGCAGCCCACAUGUAACCGAACUGUCGUGUUUCAUGGCUUUUUGCCACUCCAGCUGUCAAUCAAAGCCCGGAAUGUCAAGAAGAAACUCCAAGAUUAAAAGCAUCUUAUUUGUUACUGAGUUUCUCGUCGACGUAUAAGAAAAGGUGAGUAACAAAGAAAAGAAGACGCAAAAGAAAAGAAAAAGUUGCCUUCCAGAAUUUUAUUUCGAGCGACAGUUACGCGAAUUCAGUUUAGCCGGGGCGGGAAGGAUGAGAGCCGGAAAAAAACCGAUCUGGUCUCGCUGAGGAUCGUUUUCGACUUUGCAGAGAGGUUUUGAUAUUGGUGGAUCCAAGUUUCCCUGCAGCGCCGCUAGCUGAAAAGUUUAUACUCAUUUUUUCAGUUUUUAUUCUUUUAAUUCUUUUUUCAAUCUUGCGUGUUUAUUGUCGCCAAUGGGGUUAUUGUUGUACAAUUCUGUUUUUAAGAAAGAAACUCAAUUUCCUUGAUUAACGCUUCUUUUGUAAAGAGUAACUUCGAAAUGAACCUCUGCAUCGCAGAGUUUAAAGAUUCAACAGCCGCUCCCUUCUGCUACUUUUACCACCGCUUUUUUCCCCUCACAGUGAUGCUGUGGAGUUAGAAUCCCUACAGCGGCUAUUUAGAAAAACUGCAAAAGUAUAUAAAAAAAACACCCUGUUUCUUGUAAGGCAAUGCAUCCGAGUAAAAACAAUUUAGACCAAUAGAUGAUUUCUACAUUUUCAAACAGUUGUUAAGCUAAUGAUGGGUUGAUUACUCUGUGAUAAUCUUGAGUUUUAGAAAAGAAAAAAGUUUAAAAUCUAUUUUCAUAUGUUUUCAUCCUUUGAGUGACGCAGAAGGCGUUUUAACCUGGGAACUAACUCUCUCUCUUCCUUUUCUCCCUCUCCUCUCUCUCUCUCACUCAUAUUCUGUAACUUCUUUUCCAUUUUAUUGAAAACAUUAAAGCAAACAACAGGCGCAACCUAGUUUGAUGUAGGAAAGAGAGAGAAAAAGGACAUUUUGAGAUGCUGUUAAAAAAAUAUAAAACAAUCUUUAACUCCAAAGAUGUUAGUUAAGGAGUGUGAGAGUGUUAAAAAUAACACCUUACUGAAGGAAAUCUAUGACAUUUAAAAAUUCACCAAUUACCCAAAGGGAGAAACCAGAAUUUCUUGCAAUUUAAAGAGAUUUCACUUACCUAGAUGCAUGUCAUUUAUGAAACUGUGAGUUUCAAAUAGCAUCACAGUGCGGUGGAUCACACACCAAAUCAUGCUGAAGGUGAUUGGGUGCCGGUUCUUGAUCAGCCUGAUUAAUUAAAAAAAAAAAACUAUUAUUUUUAAUCACCAAUUUGCUGGUGUUUUGUAUAGAGAGCUGAGAAACAUUUAAGAACUUCCUGGUCUCCCCGCUACCGUCAAUUGCAGGCCGAUAGAAGCGAUUGCAAAGUGGUCGGGUGCAAGCACUUUCUGAUGUCUAGCCUGAUAGUACGUUGCUGAUGCUCGGUUCUCAGCCUCCGCACCCUCACCCAGGCAGCGAUGCUCAUCUGCUCGCCAACAUUUGGGGCAAAGGAAAAGUAGGUGGGGCAGGCCUGGAGACAGGCGUGAGAUGGGGGUCGCAGGAGGCGGCACACACCUCCGUCAACAGUCAGCUCCUUUUGCCCAGGCUGGAAAUGGUUUUAACAGGCGGUAAAAUUUCAUCUUUCGGUGUCAAAUUGGGGUCAUUUUGGGGUUAGAGUUCUCAGUGUCCGAGAGGAGCUGUCCAGCUGCGUGGGGACUCAUUAAGUGCAAAAGAUCUGUUUCAGUAAAAACAAUUCAAAGACAAUCAGAAGGCUAAAGACCCUCUACAAAUCGCAUUUUACAAGUGCCCCAGAACAAAUAUGGAUGCUGAAACCUAUUUCUUCAGAAUCCCAAACCGUCUACCUAGCUCUGGGGGGGGGUGGGGGCACUGCAUUAAAAAGAGGUGAAAGGGAGGGGACCUUGGUCUGAUGGGGGUGAGCGGGAGGGAGAAUCAGGCCUCUCAAAUCUAAGAGUCUGUUUUUAAUCACCUUUCUUAUUGAAGCAUCCCCAAGGUCUUUGAGAACUGCCUCUUUUCCAUUUUUCCUUUUCUUUUGGUCUCAACGUGGAAUGCUAUUAUAGAUAACAGUCAAGAUUUUAAAAGAAUAAUUGAAUCUCGCUAUAUUUAAUUUUAAUUUUAAAAGGCAUUGGCUUUAUGGAGAGUAUUUAAUUUGAAAUGAGUUUCAUGAACCUAGACUCCAUUUUUAGAUGAACUUGUCCAUUUUCCUUUAGAAGCCUGUGUGCCUGUCUCUUUUCACCUUUAUUUCCGCCUGGAAAGUCGUAGGUCCUCAGCACAAAUAACUCCAAAUUCCUCAGAACCGUGAGGUCUGAAGUGGUAUUUGAUCAGUGUAUUAAAUCUCUGGACUUAAAUCCAUUUUGUUGCUUACAACAGUUAGAACAAUUGACGCCUUGCUAGAGAAGCAAAUAAUUCUAACCUUAAUUAUAUUUGUAACUUCAGUUAAUGUUUUGAAUUGAAGUAUUUUAGAUUAAACAGAUUUUUAAGGACUCUAUAAGGUUAAUGUUUUAUUUGUGGAGGUUCUGUUUGGUGGUUUGGAAGAAAGAUAUUAAUUAUUACUUUGAUUCAAAAAAUUCCUUCAGGUAAAGGCAAAUGCAGUUUAAAAUGAGAGAAGCUAGGUGUGUGAGAUGCCAGGGGUCUAAGGACAAACCAAAUCAAUACUUUAAAGUGGAGUGUUAUUUGAAAGUUUUCUUUCUUGCAUUACUGACCUGAGCAAGUACAAAGGAUCAAAAUUUUAUCCUUUCCCUGUUUGGACUCCACUUCUGUCAGUAGUUCUUCCCUCUUCAUCUGCUUUACUGUCGUUUGGGUUCCGAGGGCAGUGAAUUUUCAUUGUCCAGCUUUUUUCUCCAAGUUUUAUAGAGUAUUUAUAAAUUUAUUCAAAGAACUUGAUUGCCACCCUGCAGAAACAGCCCGGAACCCAGCAUCGCAGGGGUAAAGGCAGAGGGGCUGUCUUCUGCUCCAGACCUGCUGGCUGACAGUUGGAAUUUUUGAUAUAUAUUUUAUUUGGCGUUUCCAAUAACGUAUUUGCCUCUCCCUCCUCACCCCCUUGCAGCCAUCUACUUGAAAACAUCUCUUUCCUCCAAACCUAGCUCAUCCCUGUGAACUGUUUUUGACCUUCCCUCUAGCAUAACCAACAGCUCAGGAAGUUGGACGAGGAAGGAUUCCACUGCCAUACCUGUUAACUUUACUCACUCUCUACCUAAUCCGUAUUAAGAGAGGGAAGGGGACCUUUGUUAGUUUGUUCUUGGGUCCUUUCUCCACUUGGGCUUUCUGCUGUAUACUUCCCAUUCCCAAUAAAUAGGAAUAGAACACCCCGCAAUCUUCCUAAAUAAGAUAGAGUUGAAUCAUUGCACUUUCUUUUUUUUGCUUUUACUCUCUCUUAUUAUUUCUUUCCAUUUUAGCUGCUUUACCAUCUCGCAGAAGGCAAGCAUUUCAAUAAAUAGCCCUCUAGCGCUAUCUGGCGGGGCUCCAAACGCGACGUGCGCUGGCUCUCGAAGUCUCAGGCUCCUUCCCGCGCUCUUUCCUCCCUCCCUUCCUUCCUCUUUUCCCCUCUCCUCCUCUUUCUCUUGUCUCUUCCUCUAUCCCGUCCCCUUCUCCCUCUUCCCGCUGCUCCUUCUCUAGCUUCACCCUCACUUCCAGCGCCAACGGCUUGGAACAACCCGUCAGAGGCUGAUAACCGGGAAACUGGGUGAUACCCUUUGGGGCCCCCCUUCGCCCAGAGUAAAUCACUCACAACUAUUGUCCUUGUUCAGAAUCUUAAUGUUUACGAAAGUGUUGCUUCAGCCUCGGUAUCAUAGCUGGUGGUGGUAUGGAGGGUCUUAAAACUGUAUUUGUGAAGUUUGGAGGAAAGAAAUCAGACUCUGGAAUCCCGGCUAGUGGAGCCCAGCUAAGUUUUAGGUCCAGAGGCCAAGUCUCAGGGAGAGUUUGAGGAGAGGUUGGGCUACACAGGGGUGGGAACAGCUCCGUGCGGCGCCAGACCUGCGGGAGAGAACUGGCGGGGGCGCACCUGCCUUUCCCACGCCCGCUCAGGUCCCGCCCGCGGGAUCCGCAUAUCACAAAGGACUGAUCGACUUUUUGUCCUAGGCCUGUCCAGAAUACCUCUUUCUUUUAAAACAUGAGCUAGCUUUAUCCUCUCUCCCUUUCCCACCCCACCCACCACUAACACAACAACUUUGAUGAGAAGUUGGAAAAAAGUGGAAGAAAGCUCACUGGAAAACCCACAGGGCAGAGAGGAGAAAGCCCAGAGUCAGGGACUCCGGAACGCACGCUUGAGGAUGCGGUGCUAACCAGCAUCCACGCUCUUUUCUCGCAGGGGUUUGUCUUCCUAUUUGUGGCUUAAAACAACAACAACAACGCAACAGUUAAAAAAAAAGGACCCUAGCCCGUAAACCCUCAAGGGUGUGUGGGGAGCAUCAGAGGGCAUGGGGCAAAGAAGAGCUUCAACUCUGCAGAGUGUUUUAGGUUUUCUCUCUCUCUCACGAGCACGCGCGCAUGCACACACACACACACACACACACACACACACACACAAACACCCUCUGAGCCUUAGAGAGCUCUCCAGUCCUCCCUUUGAGCACAUUGCUUCCAUCAGUUUCUUGAAAAUAGAGGAAAGAAUAUGGACCAUGAGGCCUGGGGGAAAAUUAGAUUUCUCUAACUUUAUUUCUGCAAAUUUUGAAAUUUAGCUUUGAUCUUGCAAAAAGUGAGGACCAUAUCCCAGAUACAAACCCAGUUAGUGACUACUUGCAUUGAGGGGACUUCAGCCUUGCAAUGUUUGUGAUCACCAAAGACCUCUUCUUAAUUCUGAAAUCCUCCCUACUACCUCCCCAUCUCAAAAAUCGAAUAGAAAGAAGGGGGAGGGAGAAUGACCCAGUCACUGGUUGGGUUCCUCAAGCAUCUCGCCCCACCCCCACACUGAAGGAGGGCAGCACAGUUCAGGUGUAAUUAAUUGAGAACUGUUAUUGGGUCAUCAUUAGCCAAGGUGCAAAUAAUUGCAACCCACUUUUACUUAAAACUGACCAGCCCCAGAGUGAUAGAUCGAUUUGGAGUAUAAAAAUGAUGUAUCAAAACAUCAAUGUCGAUUAUUUGAAAUAUUGUAGUCGAAUUUUUUUAUUGCUUCAUCGGUUAAGUGUCUGAAAGUGCAGUGUUCAAACAUAUUUAUGCUGUCAAUACUGUCAGAACUGUCAGUUUUACUAUUCUAGAUUUGUACUUCACUUCAAAUUUACUCAUUUACAUAAAAUGCCCACCCUAGGAUUCCCCCACCCUCACCCCAUCUCUCUCUUUCCUCCCAUCUCUGGAAAAUCCGUGUCAGUUUCUUCAAAGGACUAAGCAAUCUCAGCCUAAGCUAAAGUGUGCACUGCCUCUAUUACUCAAUUUUCCACAUCGGAUUACAGGUCUUUUUCACCAUUUGUAACUUUCAAAGGGAGCCUUCCUCCUUUCUUCUCAGCUCUGCCUACUCCAGCCUUUUCUCCGAACACUGGAAAGCUUCAGUUUAAACAUCCACAUCUCAGCUGCAAAUAAAUCACUUCGGUAGAGAAACAGAAAAACCGCACUUCACUGCACCUCCUUGGCCGCACUCCUGUAAGCUGGGCUGUGUUGCACAGACGUUCUCACACGUGUCAGGGCCCAUCAUCAAAUUACCUGGAAGACUGAAAUCUUCCAGGGAAAAUGAACUUGGAACUAUAAUUACUUUUCCCUUCCUUUUUCCUUAAAAGCCGUGAUAGGAGAAAAAGAAAUAAUACAUAUAAAUGGAAGGUUUUACCUUUAAAAGCUUUGAACUCCAUCGAAAGACACAAGUUGGAAGCAGAAUUGACAGUUUUAAUUCUACCCAUUUUCACCUGGCACAUCCGAUCAGAGGCAAUCGUUUAUUUUAUGGGAGGCGGGUGGAAGCUUUGGCAGAAAGCUUGAAUCCACUGAAUCCUAAAUUGUAGGAUAGGCGCUGUGCUAAAAAUCACCAAAAAAUGAAAAACAUUUUUUGAAACACAAACAUUCCGUUGCUCCACACUCUGUGUCUGGACUAAUUGAAAUUUAUAAAUUCACAUUCUGCCUAAUUUUGUGUUCCCCCCUCCUCCCAGGAUUCCCCUCAAGCCUGAUAGGAGAGACAGGGUCACUUCUGGAUGAGGGUUAUGGAAACGUGUUUUCAUUUCCAUAACACUGAAGCACUUUUUAUAAACCUUUUAAUGUAUUUAAAUAAGUCUUUUUGGAAACUGAGAGAAGCUACACAUAGAGCCAUCGCUUGGCUUUACACCUACAAUCCGAGCAUCAGAAAAUAAAAAGAUAUCCGGAACCCAACGGAGAAGGUUGUUCACACACACCCUUGCCUUUGCCGAAAAAGCAGCAAAAGUUUCCUGUGUGCAUCUGUAUGUCUUUGUGUGCAGGUUUAUGAACAUCUCCCUGUUCGUGUUUGCGCCUUACCUUCCUCUUGCCACGCGCUCGAAGGCAGAGGCAUCCAGGGAUCGCCCCCAGAGAGCUGUGUUUACUUAGUUUUUAAAAAAGUCUCUGCACCACGUAUGACAAGUGUUACUUCAAGAAAUUCACCAACCUUCUGCAGAUACUUCCAGUGUUGCCGUAAUGAUCUGCAGAAGAGAACUGCCAUCACUUUUUCACAACCCAAGGUGUUGCAGGAACUCAGAGAACAGAGGGAGAGUGGCUGAAACGCUAAUUACAGCCGAGGGCGGGAGGCGGGGGGAGGGGGGCGGCGGUCAGAGUGGGGAUCCAGGGAAGGCGGGUGAGGACGGUCCCUUACCUGGCCUGGGCGUGGGGAAAGUUCUGACUCCUCUGGGUGAAUAUUUGGAAAAAGUAUGGUAGCCUUUUUUUUCCUCUCUUUUAAAUGCCUUUGGGGAGAAGUGAUACCCUUGUGUAACAAUUAGCUCAGACAAUAAAAAUAAUUGGAAAAAUCAGUUGGAACUUCUGAGUUUUUAAUUACGUUUAAUUUUGUACUAAGCCGUAAAAUUACAAAUGCCCCUCAAUUAAACACUCCUCUUGUAAAGCGUUUAACAACAAUUAUUCCUUAAUCAGUCUGAAUGUGAGUCACAAAUGAUGCUUUUCCACAUCAAAGGGACGUCCUUCCACGUUACCUUUUAGUCAUAAGAGGAUUAAUUCCUAUAAUUAGAGGGAUAAAUAUGUGCAUAAAUACCUCUCUUCCCUUCUCUCCCUCUCCUCUCUCUCUCUCUCUCUCUCGAAAAAAAAAAAAAUCACUUUCACUCUUCGAAACGUGGCCGGCUCCAGUCGGGUAAGGGGUUUUAAUUGCCUGCCUCUGCCCGACACCCCUUGGCCGGCGGGCGACUGGAACCGAGGAGACGCGGGCGGACGCCAAGCGCAGACCCCCCGAGGGACACACAGGCGCGCAGGUUUAUCCAGGAACGAACGCGAAUCGGGCAGGAGGUGCGGAGCCGGGGGUCCCAGGGGUCCCAGGAUCCCCGCCAACUCCAGUGUGAUGCUCCCCGGACCGUAACCCACCGCCCACUCUUGCCGCCGCCCAGACAGGCGGGAGCGCUUUGGUCCUGCGGGUCCUCCAGUUCCGAAGAGCGGGGUCCUUGCCCUGAGCGAAGCUGCAGGUUCACUCCUCGGGCGACAAAUAAAAAUUGGGCAUGAC